CUCAAACCAGCAUAAACUAUUCGGAGUUUUAGAUGGAAAAUUAGUCCUGUGCUUCCUCAUGAAAUACAAGAAAAGCUCAAUUGUUCAGAGGAAGAGUACUUCAGGAGCCACUCUUCAGCCAUUAAGUCAUAUAUCUCAGAGCUGGAUAUAGAUUUAAUAGUGGUAUGUGUCGGUGUCAAAACCGGCGGAUCUCGGGUAGGGGGUCCCGAUCUGUGCGUCUAA
rnacentral:rRNA from 1 species